rnacentral:misc_RNA from 1 species
UUUCCGUAGGUGAACCUGCGGAAGGAUCAUUAUUGUAUAACCGAGGUGCGAGGGCUGUCGCUGACCCGAAAGGUCGUGCACGCCCGAGUGCCCUCACACACAUCCAUCUCACCCCUAUGUGCACCACCGCGUGGGUCCCCCCUGGCUUGUUCGGAGGGGGGCUUACGUUUUCACACAAACUUUGUAUGCAGUGUAGAAUGUAUUUUUUGUUUUUGCGAUCACGCAAUCAAUACAACUUUCAACAACGGAUCUCUUGGCUCUC